GUGUAGCAAUACACGAGUGGCGCACGGGUGAGUAACGCGUGGAUAUCUGCCUUUUGGUUCGGAAUAACCCCGGGAAACUGGGGCUAAUACCGGAUGGUUCCUACGGGAUAAAGAUUUAUCGCCAAAAGAUGAGUCCGCGUACGAUUAGCUAGUUGGUGAGGUAAUGGCUCACCAAGGCGACGAUCGUUAGCUGGUCUGAGAGGACGAUCAGCCACACUGGGACUGAGACACGGCCCAGACUCCUACGGGAGGCAGCAGUGGGGAAUAUUGGACAAUGGGGGCAACCCUGAUCCAGCCAUGCCGCGUGAGUGAUGAAGGCCUUCGGGUUGUAAAGCUCUUUUGGCGGGGACGAUGAUGACGGUACCCGCAGAAUAAGCCCCGGCUAACUUCGUGCCAGCAGCCGCGGUAAGACGAAGGGGGCUAGCGUUGUUCGGAAUUACUGGGCGUAAAGCGUGUGUAGGUGGUUGUCAUAGUCAGGUGUGAAAGCCUUGAGCUCAACUCAAGAAAUGCACUUGAUACUGGGCGACUAGAGGACCGGAGAGGAUAGUGGAAUUCCCAGUGUAGUGGUGAAAUACGUAGAGAUUGGGAAGAACACCAGUGGCGAAGGCGGCUAUCUGGACGGUUCUGACACUAA
rnacentral:rRNA from 1 species